CGUGCGCGGCGAGUGAGCGGGAUGAGCUCAAAUUUAAAAUCUGGCUGCCUCAGGUGGUCCGAGUUGUAGUCUCGAGAAGUGUUUUCCGCGUUGGCCUGUGUACAAGUCCUUUGGAAUAAGGCGUCAUAGAGGGUGAGAAUCCCGUCCUUGACACAGAUCCCCAAUGCUUUGUGAUGCGCUCUCAAAGAGUCGAGUUGUUUGGGAAUGCAGCUCAAAAUGGGUGGUAAAUUCCAUCUAAAGCUAAAUAUUGGCGAGAGACCGAUAGCGAACAAGUACCGUGAGGGAAAGAUGAAAAGCACUUUGGAAAGAGAGUUAAACAGUACGUGAAAUUGUUGAAAGGGAAACGAUUGAAGUCAGUCAUGCUCGUAGGGAUUCAACCGGUUCUGCCGGCCUAUUUCCCUACUUGCAGGCCAGCAUCAGUUUUGACCGGUGGAAAAGGUUGGAGGGAAUGUGGCAUCCUCGGAUGUGUUAUAGCCCUCUUUCGCAUACAUCGGUUGGGACUGAGGAACGCAGCACGCCUUUAUGGUCGGUCUUCGGACACGUACGUGCUUAGGAUGCUGGCAUAAUGGCUUUAAACGACCCGUCUUGAACAAGG
rnacentral:rRNA from 1 species